rnacentral:rRNA from 1 species
GAUGAACGCUGGCGGCGUGCCUAAUACAUGCAAGUCGAGCGAACUGAUUAGAAGCUUGCUUCUAUGACGUUAGCGGCGGACGGGUGAGUAACACGUGGGCAACCUGCCUGUAAGACUGGGAUAACUUCGGGAAACCGAAGCUAAUACCGGAUAGGAUCUUCUCCUUCAUGGGAGAUGAUUGAAAGAUGGUUUCGGCCAUCACUUACAGAUGGGCCCGCGGUGCAUUAGCUAGUUGGUGAGGUAACGGCUCACCAAGGCAACGAUGCAUAGCCGACCUGGGAGGGUGAUCGGCCACACUGGGACUGAGACACGGCCCAGACUCCUACGGGAGGCAGCAGUAGGGAAUCUUCCGCAAUGGACGAAAGUCUGACGGAGCAGCGCCGCGUGAGUGAUGAAGGCUUUCGGGUCGUAAAACUCUGUUGUUAGGGAAGAACAAGUACAAGAGUAACUGCUUGUACCUUGACGGUACCUAACCAGAAAGCCACGGCUAACUACGUGCCAGCCGCCGCAGUAAUAC